UUUUUUUUUUUCCUUCUCUCCUUGCAUUGAAAUGCUUGUUUUGAUUUCACACUGGGACAAUGUGAGAUUAAGCGUGGGGGAAAAGGAUUUAUAGCUUAAAUGAUUUAGAACUUGAAUGUUUUAUUCUAAUUAUUUUGGGAUUUGCCUAAUUAUUGCUGGUUGUUUGGUUAAAAAUUUAUUGGGUAUUGUCUAUAUUUGCCUUGAGUUGAUGCUUGGUGAUAGAUUUUGAUGAAUUCCAUAUUUUAAUUCUUGUUUAAAAAUUGAAUCAGUUUUUAGGAAUUUUUAUCUUGACUUAGAAUGAUCUUUUAAUUAUCUUGACGGACAUUCUUGAUUAGUUUAGUGAAUUUAACUUGGUUAGCUGUUGUCUCUUGUCCACAUUGAAUAAAUUGUUGAAUUUAGUUAUUCCUUUUGACAUAAAUUUUGGAGGCUUGAAUCAAAAGAAGAUAAAUGCUUAAAUUUUCUUGAUAAAAUACAUAACCAUUGCACUUAGAAUAUUUAUGUAAUCUGUUAGGAAAAAAAAAAAAAAAA
rnacentral:lncRNA from 1 species